CUUGCUAAAGAACUGCAGAGAGGGUCUCACGAUGAGUCUUACUCCAGAGAUGUCACCAGCCACUGUCAGAAGGUGCACUUCUGCGAAGAUCACCCUCAGCCCUGCUGUCCAACGCCAAAAUGGGCCCUCCUCAGAGGACCCCGAUGUGCAGAGGAGGUAAGAACCUCCGACCUUCAGAAAGACACCAAAUCAAGCUCAGUGUACAGUAGAACACACAGUAGAACACACAGUAGAAAACACAGUAGAACACACAGUAGAAAACACAGUAGAAAACACAGUAGAACACACAGUAGAAAACACAGUAUAACACACAGUAGAACACACAGUAGAACUAAGACAUUACACAUAUCCNNNNNNNNNNNNNNNNNNNNNNNUCUCUAUGCUGGGUUGGGGGUUUCUGCACCGGGCGAUUGUCUCUAUGCUGGGUUGGGGGUUUCUGCACCGGGCGAUUGUCUCUAUGCUGGGUUGGGGGUUUCUGCACCGGGCGAUUGUCUCUAUGCUGGGUUGGGGGUUUCUUGUCUCUAUGUAGUUAAUUUAUUGAUCCUGGUGUUGGGUCUCUUGACAAAGACUGGUGAAGUUAGACGUUGAUCCAAUGGAAAUUAAGAAUAUUACAUUCCAUCCAAUCAUGUUUGCCCUUGAAUCUGGUUUGGGAUUGGCGAUCAAGGAUUGGCUGGGUUCAUGCAUAUGUUGUGUUGAAUGCAAAAUGCACUGUAUGAGCUGUACACAGAUGUGGGAAGGAGGGGAGGGCAGGUCAGGUCUAUUCUGGUCUACCGUCCUGCUGGGCCUGUUUUGUUGAGGUUUCCUGUGGAAAUGCCUGUGGUUUGCAUCAAUCAUGCUGUAGGAAAAAACACAGUAUCUCACUAGUACACAAUGACAACAUCAAGCUUGUGACCAAUUAGUUGGAAGCAUUUGCUGUUUGUUUUGGUUUUGUUUCAGAUUAUUUUGUGCUCAAUAGAAAUGAAUGGUAAAUAAUGUAUUGUGUCACUUUUAUAACGUAAAUAAGAAUAGAAUAUGCUUCUAAACACUUCUACAAUAACGUAACAACAGCAAAUUCAUCCAACAAAUGUGUAGUCACAAGCUUAAUGUAGUUGUUGCCUUCUAUAAAUAUGGAUACUAAUCUCUUUUUACUACUUUAAUACACAUACUGUAUAAGUGAAUUUGUCCCAAUACUUUUGACCCCCUAAAAUCGGGAGACUAUGUACAAAAUUGUUUUUGUCAUUUCUGAAUGGUUCACCAGAUAUGGAUGAAAAUACUUUAACCAAAAAUCCAAACUUUUGGAGUA
rnacentral:lncRNA from 13 species